AAUAGAUACCCGGGUAGUCCACGCUGUAAACGAUGGAUACUAGGUGUGGGAGGUAUCGACCCCUUCCGUGCCGCAGUAAACGCAAUAAGUAUCCCGCCUGGGGAGUACGGCCGCAAGGUUGAAACUCAAAGGAAUUGACGGGGGCCCGCACAAGCAGCGGAGCAUGUGGUUUAAUUCGAAGCAACGCGAAGAACCUUACCAGGACUUGACAUCCCCUGCAUUACUCGUAACGGAGGAAAUCCUUCGGGACAGGGAGACAGGUGGCGCAUGGUUGUCGUCAGCUCGUGUCGUGAGAUGUUGGGUUAAGUCCCGCAACGAGCGCAACCCUUAUCCUUAGUUGUUAACAGUAAGAUGAGCACUCUAGGGAGACUGCCGGGGACAACUCGGAGGAAGGUGGGGAUGACGUCAAAUCAUCAUGCCCCUUAUGUUCUGGGCUACACACGUGCUACAAUGGGUAGAACAACGGGAAGCAAGCUAGUGAUAGUAAGCAAAUCCCUAAAAACUACUCUCAGUUCAGAUUGUAGGCUGCAACUCGCCUACAUGU
rnacentral:rRNA from 1 species